UCCCCAAGCCCUUCAGGCUUGGACUGUGGUCACUGCACUGUGGCAGCUAGUGCCCCAACAGGGACCCCUGACAUUGCACCCAGAGGAGGUUUUUAGGGUAGAGUUGCAAUUUAAAAUUGGACAAAGAGAACAACUUAAAGGAAGAAAGAUUUAUUUUGGUCUCAGAGGUUUCCGUCAAUGGUUGGUUUUCUGCUGUGAACUUGGAGAAAUAACCCUAGUUGAGGAUAGUGUCCUGGAGGAGGUUCUUUUCCUCAAUAUGGACUGGAAGCCAAGAGACUGGGAGGGGCCAUGACUAGUUAUAUUCCUCAAAGCCAUGCCCGCAGCGACCUCUUCUUCCAACUUAGCUUUGUCAAUUGACACAACCUGGCGUAACCUGGAGAGUCUCAAUGAUGGCUCAUCUUGUUCAGGUUGGCUUCUGGGCAUGCCUGUGGGUGACUGUCUUGAUUAUACCUUGAGAAGAUUCAUCCUGAAAGGGGAUGACAUCAUUCCCUGGUUUGGAGCGCUGGAUUAUAAAAGAGAAGAGAAAUUUGCCUGGGUAUUAAGCAUGCAUUCAUUGCUCUUUGUUCUUGACUCUG